rnacentral:rRNA from 1 species
GUCUGGUGCCAGCAGCCGCGGUAAUUCCAGCUCCAAUAGCGUAUAUUAAACUUGUUGCAGUUAAAAAGCUCGUAGUUGAAUUUCUGCGUCACCGUAUUUUGACUUUUGUCGACUGUCGGUUUCGCUUUUGGGAUUUAUCCCUUUUUACUUUGAGAAAAUUAGAGUGUUUCAAGCAGACUUUUGUCUUGAAUACUUCAGAAUGGAAUAAUGAAGUAGG